UACGUAGGGGGCUAGCGUUGUCCGGAAUCAUUGGGCGUAAAGCGCGCGUAGGCGGCCCGGUAAGUCCGUUGUGAAAGUCAAAGGCUCAACCUUUGAACGCCGAUGGAUACUGCCGGGCUAGAGUCCGGAAGAGGCGAGUGGAAUUCCUGGUGUAGCGGUGGAAUGCGCAGAUAUCAGGAGGAACACCGGUGGCGAAGGCGGGUCUCUGGGCCGUAACUGACGCUGAGGAGCGAAAGCAUGGGGAGCGAACAGG
rnacentral:rRNA from 1 species